UACGUAGGGGGCGAGCGUUGUCCGGAUUUAUUGGGCGUAAAGCGCGUGUAGGCGGCCAGGUAGGUCUGCUGUGAAAACUCGAGGCUCAACCUCGAGAUGUCGGCAGAAACCCUCUGGCUAGAGUCCGGAAGAGGAGAGUGGAAUUCCCGGUGUAGCGGUGAAAUGCGCAGAUAUCGGGAAGAACACCCGUGGCGAAGGCGGCUCUCUGGGACGGUACUGACGCUGAGACGCGAAAGCGUGGGGAGCGAACAGG
rnacentral:rRNA from 1 species